UCGUCUCUAACCCCUCUCCCCUCUCUUCUACAGCUUCUCCAUAGCAGUAGUGACUCCCCUAUGGCCGGCGACUAGAUACUCAACUGGAACCAUAAGAAGCAAACCCCUCUAUCCUUUAUCAUAACCACAGGCGGUAGCAGUGGAGGCGACAAUUCCCCUGUAGUGGGCGACAAGAUGCUCGACCGAAACCGUUAGAACCGCAACCACUCUCAUCAUUUCUCAUAACCACAAGUUCAGGCACAGGCGGAAAACUGGGCACUAUGUAAAGUCACUUGCCUAAGAUAAAAUAUUCAUUUGCCAUCAGACUGUUUUUGUAAAAAUAU